ensembl:lncRNA
AUUUUGUUCUGUGGUGGUAGCUUAAGUACAACAUCGUACCUCCCAGAAAUGAUGACGACCCUGCUUUUUCCUCCAUACAGUAGCAUUACUUUAGUCAGUGGUGGCCUCAUUUGGCCAGAGGCAUUUGGUGCAGAGACCCAGGGGCUGAGUAGCAGUUGAGCCAGGGUAGGCAGCAGGUGAGGCAGGAAACUGGUAAUCUGGAGGUGCCAGAGAUUUUUCCUCUGUAGUAAAAAGGUACAGAGGAGGGAGCUGUAGGAAGAGCUCCCCUUCUCCAGAGCUGAAGUUCGGCAGCUGCAGCCCCAUGUGAUCGGACAUCAAAGAUGUGACAGGGGAAAAGAAAAAAAGAAAAAAAAAAGGAAAAAAGAAAAAAAAAAGGAAAAAAAAACCUUUUAUUGCUUACUUUCCAACAAGGAAAAACUUCAAGGAACAGACACGAGUUUCUCCCCUUUGCCACCAGAUGUCCCUCCUGAGCAGGGAAAUCUGCUGGUCUGAAAGCUGCCCAGGCGCUGGAUCCACAACGUUUCUGAAGACGAGAGAGGGAAAGGAAAGUUUGAGUGAAAGCAACAGUUAGUGCAGGGUUUUGGAUGGAUGAAGUGCUGAGAUGUCUCCUUGGCAAGAGAAACAUUUUGCCGGUAGCACUGUAACGUAUGUUUAAUUAACUCCUAAAAUGUGUCAUAACUUGCAG